AUUGUGUCAGCAGCCGCGCGGUAAUACGGAGGUGGCUAGCGUUACUCGGAAUUAUUGGGUGUAAAGGGCAAGUAGGCGGCUUGGUAAGUGGGGGGUGAAAUACUCCGGCUCAAUCGGAGAACUGCCUUCCAAACUGCCAGGCUUGAGUGUGACAGGGGAAAAUGGAAUUCUCGGUGUAAGGGUGAAAUCUGUAGAUAUCGAGAAGAACACCAGCGGCGAAGGCGAUUUUCUGGGUCACUACUGACGCUAAAUUGCGAAAGCUAGGGGAGCAAACAGAAUUAGAUACUCUGGUGGUCCUAGCCGUAAACGAUGAGCACUAGAUGUCGGCCCCUUUAGGGGUCGGUGUCGCAGCUAACGCAUUAAGUGCUCCACCUGGGGACUACGGUCGCAAGGCUAAAACUCAAAGGAAUUGACGGGGGCCCGCACAAGCGGUGGAACAUGUGGUUUAAUUCGAAGCUACGCGAAGAACCUCACCAGGGCUUGACAUAUGGGAAGUAGUGAAAUGAAAGUGGAACGACCUGUCAAGUCAGGAACCUAUACAGGUGCUGCAUGGCUGUCGUCAGCUCGUGUCGUGAGAUGUUGGGUUAAGUCCCGCAACGAGCGCAACCAUUAUCCUUUGUUGCCACUCUUUUUGUCGAAAGACUGAAAGAAGCACUCUAAGGAGACUGCCUGCGAUAAGCAGGAGGAAGGUGGAGAUGACGUCAAGUCAGUACGGCCUUUAUGCCCUGGGCGACACACGUGUUACAAUGGGUGAAACAGAGGGUUGCCAACCCGCGAGGGGGAGCUAAUCUCUAAAAAUCAUCCUCAGUUCAGAUUGGAGUCUGCAAUUCGACUCCAUGAAGCCGGAAUCGCUAGUAAUGGCAGAUCAGCACGCUGCCGUGAAUACGUUCCCGGGCCCUUGCACACACCGCCCGUCAAAUCCGUUACCCACUAAUCGCUGCAGCACAUCCCCCUUUCGCAGCUGCGUAUAGCGAGAGCCCGCCACCGAUCGCCCUUCCACAGUGCGCAGCUGGAUUGCGAUGCGCUGAAUGCGUAUUUUUCUCGUACGCAUCUGUCGAUUCCACCCGCAAUGUGCACCUCUCCAGAUACAGUCCUGCCUCUG
rnacentral:rRNA from 1 species